AAGGACCUAAGAGCUAUGGUUCCGCAGCUAAUAGUAAGGUUGGUUGAUCUAUUUCAUUUUAUAUAUUUUCAUGAAUAUGGUUGUAUAUAUUUAUAUUUCAUAUAGGUUACUUCAAAGAAUUGAUGGUAAGGUAGCUGCGGAACCGUAGCUCUUAGGUCUUUAUGAUAUUUUUUGACUGUUUGAGGACCAUCUUUGUUCAAUAAAUAUCAUAAGGACCUAAGAGCUACAGUUUGCAGCUUAAAUAGUAAGGUUGGUUGAUCUAUUUCAUUUUAUAUAUUUUCAUGUGUAUGGUUGUAUAUAUAUUUAUUUUUUAUAUAGGUUACUUCAAAGAAUUGAU